GGGGAGGGGUGUGGGGGUUGGGCGAGUCUGUGGGUCAUUUGGGGAAAUUAUGCCGUUUAACCAUGUCUCUUGUUUCAAGGCCAUGCCUCCUGCUCGCUCUAAGCAAUCACUGUUCUCUGUCAGUGUCUCUCAGUGGUGGAACAAACUCCCAGAAGCAACAAAACCACUGUAGGAUCAUUUCUCUCAACCUUCUAGAAGCAAGCGAUAAUGAUUGGCCAGCACCAUUCCUGGACAGGAAGCUUCCCAAAUAGCACUGUUUACCAGACCUGUGUGUGGAGCUUGGAAAGAUGCAGCUGGAAGAACUGUGCAGAUGUAAACAGAUAUGUUUCAGAAUGCCUUGUUG